rnacentral:miRNA from 1 species
UUCCGCUUGGACGAGGUACAUGUACCUCGUCCAUCGGAAGGAAACCCUUCCGCUGGACGAGGCAUGUACCUCGUCCAGCGGAA